AUUGAACGCUGGCGGCAUGCCUUACACAUGCAAGUCGAACGGUAGCGGGCCUUCGGGUGCCGACGAGUGGCGAACGGGUGAGUAAUGUAUCGGAACGUACCAUUGAGUGGGGAUAACGUAGCGAAAGUUACGCUAAUACCGCAUAUUCUCUCCGGAGGAAAGCAGGGGACCGCAAGGCCUUGCGCUCUUUGAGCGGCCGAUAUCAGAUUAGCUAGUUGGUGAGGUAAAGGCUCACCAAGGCGACGAUCUGUAGCGGGUCUGAGAGGAUGAUCCGCCACACUGGAACUGAGACACGGUCCAGACUCCUACGGGAGGCAGCAGUGGGGAAUUUUGGACAAUGGGGGCAACCCUGAUCCAGCCAUGCCGCGUGAGUGAAGAAGGCCUUCGGGUUGUAAAAGCUCUUUCGGCCGGGAAGAAAUCGCAUGGGUUAAUACCCUGUGCGGAUGACGGUACCGGCAUAAGAAGCACCGGCUAACUACGUGCCAGCAGCCGCGGUAAUACGUAGGGUGCGAGCG
rnacentral:rRNA from 1 species